rnacentral:rRNA from 1 species
AUUCAACGCUGGCGGCAGGCCUAACACAUGCAAGUCGAACGAGUGGCGGACGGGUGAGUAAUGUCUGGGAAACUGCCUGAUGGAGGGGGAUAACUACUGGAAACGGUAGCUAAUACCGCAUACCAUCGGAUGUGCCCAGAUGGGAUUAGCUAGUAGGUGGGGUAAAGGCUCACCUAGGCGACGAUCCCUAGCUGGUCUGAGGGGAUGACCAGCAACAGUGGAAAUGAGACACGGUGCAGACUCCUACGGGAGGGAACAGUGGGGAAUAUUGCACAAUGGGCGCAAGCCUUAUGCAGCCAUGCCGGGUGUAUGGAGAAGGCCGUCGGGUUGUAAAGUACUUUCAGCGGGGAGGCGUUACCCGCAGAAGAAGCACGGGCUAACUCCGUGCCAGCAGCCGCGGUAAUAC